AAGGUUGUAAGGCAAGAGACGAGUGUAAAACUACAAACUUCUGUCCUGUUCGUGCAGAGGGUAGCGUUUGUGCGAAAUUUGGCUGCUGCACCUAUGACCGCUGUGUAGCCAAUUACACCUUGGGUGCAGACUUUGAAACCCCUACCCCGACACCCUCCACCACCCAAAAACCACUUAUGGCAAAAUCAUCCUCCCUCGAACCUUCGUCAUCUGUCCAGUAGCGCCGUCAGGAUCUAUUUUUGGAGGGGCAAAUCCGAGUGCCGAAGGCACGAGCCUACUAGGGAGGUUCGGGGGUAUGCCCCCCCGAGAAAAUUUUGAAUUUGGGGUGUCUAAAACCGCAUUUCCUGCGUUUUGGAAGCACUUUAAGAGAAACAUAAAGGUUUUAAUAAAUCACUUUUUUAGUAGAUCGGAACAUAAAUGAUUUCCAUACAAUAUAUGAAUCAAAUGUAUUUUUAAUAAAACCAAGAAUGAAAUGAAGAAUUUAAUGUUAUAAUACAUAUUUAGUACAAGUUCCAUCUUAUAAAUUAAGCAUACUUAAAACCCCUUAUUAUAUUCAG